GACGAACGCUGGCGGCGUGCUUAACACAUGCAAGUCGAACGGAAAGGCCUGCUUUCCCUUGUGGAUUGCGGGUACUCGAGUGGCGAACGGGUGCGUAACACGUGAGUGAUCUGCCCCCAACUUGGGUAUAAGCCUGGGAAACUGGGUCUAAUUCCCGAUAGGACUGCAGGGUGGUGCCUGUGGUGGAAAACGAUUUUCUAGUGGUUGGGGAUGAGCUCGCGGCCUAUCAGCUUGUUGGUGGGGUAAUGGCCUACCAAGGCGGCGACGGGUAGCCGGCCUGAGAGGGUGGACGGCCACAUUGGGACUGAGAUACGGCCCAGACUCCUACGGGAGGCAGCAGUGGGGAAUAUUGCACAAUGGGCGGAAGCCUGAUGCAGCGACGCCGCGUGGGGGAUGACGGCCUUCGGGUUGUAAACUCCUUUCGACCGCGAGGAAGCCACCUGGUUGGAAGGGUGGUGACGGUAGUGGUAGAAGAAGCACCGGCUAACUACGUG
rnacentral:rRNA from 1 species